rnacentral:rRNA from 1 species
AUUGAACGCUGGCGGCAUGCUUUACACAUGCAAGUCGAACGGUAACAGGCCGCAAGGUGCUGACGAGUGGCGAACGGGUGAGUAAUGCAUCGGAACGUGCCCAGUCGUGGGGGAUAACUACUCGAAAGAGUAGCUAAUACCGCAUACGAUCUAUGGAUGAAAGCGGGGGACCGUAAGGCCUCGCGCGAUUGGAGCGGCCGAUGUCAGAUUAGGUAGUUGGUGGGGUAAAGGCUCACCAAGCCAACGAUCUGUAGCUGGUCUGAGAGGACAACCAGCCACACUGGGACUGAGACACGGCCCAGGCUCCUACGGGAGGCAGCAGUGGGGAAUUUUGGACAAUGGGCGCAAGCCCGAUCCAGCAAUGCCGCGUGCAGGAAGAAGGCCUUCGGGUUGUAAACUGCUUUUGUACGGAACGAAACGGCUCUGGUUAAUACCCGGGGCUAAUGACGGUACCGUAAGAAUAAGCACCGGCUAACUACGUG